UUUAUUAUAGUUUAUAUUAAAAACAUUGUAUUUGUAAUACAAAUAAAGUAGUUUCUUCUUACUUAAUAAAU
rnacentral:tRNA from 1 species